UUUUUUUUUUUUUUUUGGUUGGAUGGUCUCCUGUUGUUAUCUGCUUGAGUGUAUUUUUUUUUCAUUUUUUGCAAAUGCAGUAUUUGGUUUUGGCUUGUGGUUGCCCUGUUUUUUAAGUAUGCUAACCCCUUCCCAUAAUUGUGUGUUUUAGCCUGAUAGUCCUGUAAAUUCAAACACUUCAUUACUAUAUUAAAAUUAAGAAGAGAGACAUACAUAUAAACAAAAAGGGUUAUUUACCUCCUGACAUCCCUUGCCCACAUUUUAUGGUUUUGAUGACUCUUUUUUAUUUUUUUCUUUUUAAUUUUAUUUUGUUUGAAGCAUGUUCAUGAUUAAAUCUGUAUGCUGGCUUAUUUGAGUGACUGCUCUCUGAUUGCAGUUUCCUCAGUCCUAGUUCUUCCUCUUCUUCUUCUUUUUUUUUUUUCUUUUCUUUUUUCUUCCCUUUCCUUCCUUUCUUUUUGGUUUAGAGAAGCCCUUUCAAUAUUUCCUUUAACCUGGGUUUUGUGUUGCUGUAUUCUUUAAGUUUUUGUUUGUUGGGAAAAAUUUUUAUUUCCCCUUCUAUUUUAAAUGAUAUUCUUGCUGGAUAGAGUAUUCUAGGUUGCAUAUUUUUUCCUUUGAGCACUUUAAAUAUCUCUUGCCAUUCCCUCCUGGCCUGUAGUGUUUCUGUAGAGAAAUCAGCUGAUAUUCUUAUGGGGGUUCCCUUGUAGGUAACAUUCUGUUUUUCUCUUGCUGCCUUUAGGAUCCUCUCUUUAUCACUAACUUUUGCCAUUUUUAUUAUGAUGUGUCUUGGUGUGGGUCUGUUUGGGUUCAGUUUGUUUGGGGCCCUCUGUGCUUCUUGUAUCUUGAAUCCAGUAUCCUUUAGAUUUGGGAAGUUUCCAGCGAUAAUUUCUUCAAAUAUAUUUUCCAUUCCUUUAUCUUUUUCUACUCCUUCUGGAAUUCCUAUUAUGCGUAGAUUGGCCCGUUUUAUAUUAUCCCAUAGGUCUCUUAUAUUGCUUUCCAGUUUUUUGAUUCGGUUUUCUGUCUGUUGACCAGAUUGAGUGAUUUCCAUUAUUCUAUCUUCCAUAUCACUGAUUCGUUCUUCUGCAUUAUUCAUUCUGGUUUUUACUGCCCCUAGUUCAGUUUGCAUCUCUGCAAAUGAAUGUUCUAGUUUUUCUUGGCUCCUCCUUAUAUUUUCUAGCUCCUUUCUGAGGGUAUCUGCAUUGCUGUUCAUAUCUUCUCUUAAUUCCUUCAGUAUUUUCACUAUUUCUCUUUUGAACUCCAGGUCUGUCAGACUGCAGAGAUCAGUUUCAUUGUUGACUGUUUUAGGUGAGUUCUCCUGUUGGUUUGACUGGGGGUGGUUUCUCAGCUUCUUCAUCUUGCUUGUUGUCUUCUUUCUCCUGAGGGAGUUGUACUCUCCGUUAUCGGGUAGUGUUUGCCUUGUCACUGCCCUGGAAUAUUUCCUGAGGGCUGUCGUUGUUGGUCAAUCUUUUUUUGAGGCAGUGUGGCUUUUCUGGAGUGUUGAUGGGACUAACAGUGUUUCUUUGAAGCAAAGGAGGACUUCCUGAGG
rnacentral:lncRNA from 1 species